rnacentral:sRNA from 1 species
UUGGGACUUUCAGAGACACUGUGGCUAGCCAACCACAUGGUCGGCCUCAAAGUUGAGAGGCUCAGUAACCCUCCUAUCCCUAGAGAAUUCCAAAGUGUGGAUGUAAUUUAACUAGAAAGCCAUUGGUGACUAUCUGUGAUCCUCUGGAAGUAUGCUAUGUUGAUGUAUAUCUUGCAUCCAAAGCCAGAGGGAACCACAAUGACUAGUAAAACGGUGGUCUCAAUGCCCACUUAGCCUCUGCCUCUGAAUUUGACCAUAGUGGCGUUCAGCUGAUAGAGCGAGAAGAAGAAAUAUGCAUUUUUUAUGAAAAAAUAAAUAUCCAAGAGAAGCUGAAACUAAAUGGAGAAAUUGAAAUACAUCUACUGGAAGAAAAGAUCCGAUUCCUGAAAAUGAAGAUUGCUGAGAAGCAAAGACAAAUUCGUGUGACCCAGAAAUUACUGCCAGCCAAGAGGUCCCUGGAUGCCAAUCUAGCUGUGCUCCAAAUUCAGUUUUCACAGUGUACAGACAGAAUUAAAGACCUGGAGAAACAGUUCAUAAAGCCUGAUGGUGAGAAUAGAGCUCGCUUCCUUCCAGGGAAAGAUCUGACCGAAAAAGAAAUGAUCCAAAAAUUAGACAAGCUGGAACUACAACUGGCCAAGAAGGAGGAGAAGCUGCUGGAGAAGGAUUUCAUCUAUGAACAGGUCUCCAGGCUCACGGACAGGCUCUGCAGCAAAACUCAGGACUGCAAGCAGGACACACUGCUCUUAGCCAAGAAGAUGAAUGGCUACCAAAGAAGGAUCAAAAAUGCAACUGAGAAAAUGAUGGCUCUUGUUGCUGAGCUGUCCAUGAAACAAGCCCUAACCAUUGAACUCCAAAAGGAAGUCAGGGAGAAAGAAGACUUCAUCUUCACUUGCAAUUCCAGGAUAGAAAAAGGUCUGCCACUCAAUAAGGAAAUUGAGAAAGAAUGGUUGAAAGUCCUUCGAGAUGAAGAAAUGCAUGCCUUGGCCAUCGCUGAAAAGUCUUGGGAGUUCUUGGAAGCAGAUAAUCGCCAGCUGCCCAAUGGUGUUUACACAACUGCAGAGCAGCGUCCGAAUGCCUACAUCCCAGAGGCAGAUGGCACUCUUCCUUUGCCAAAACCUUAUGGUGCUUUGGCUCCUUUUAAACCUAGUGAACCUGGAGCCAAUAUGAGGCACAUAAGGAAACCUGUUAUAAAGCCAAUUGAAAUCUGAAUAUGUGAACAAAUCCAGGCCUCUCAAGGAAAGGACUUCAACCAGGCUUCCUUGUACCCACAGGUGAAAAAUGUGAGCAUAAUACUUCUAAUAUUAUUGAUAAGUAAGGUAACCACAAUUAGUCAGCAACAGAGUACAACAGGGUUUCUAUUUACCCACCAACUACUAUACCUUUCAUGACGUUGAAUGGGACAUAGAACUGUCCUACAUGUAUGUCAAAGUAUAUAUUUGAAUUGCUUAUAUUUUCUUUUUCACUCUUUAUAUUGAGUACAUUCCAGAAAUUUGUAGUAGGCAAGGCGCUAUAAAAAUGCACUAAAAAUAAAUCUGUUUUCAAUGAAGUACGGAAA